rnacentral:lncRNA from 1 species
AGGACAAUUGAGGUAGACGUCACUAAGUGCAGUUUUCCACAUAAAAUUGAUAAAGGUAAAAGGGCAAGCAACCGAGAAGCUAAAGACGAUACCACGAUCCAUCCCCGUGCAUUGUCUUUGUUUUAAUAGUUUAAUGUUUGCUAUCUUCCAAUAAAUGUACACAUCACAUCGAAUAAUUUUCAGGAUGCUUUAAUGGUUUCCUCAGCAAGUGUCCAUAACUAACAUUUAACCAGC